rnacentral:rRNA from 1 species
UGAGGAAUAUUGCGCAAUGGGCGAAAGCCUGACGCAGCGACGCCGCGUGGAGGAUGAAGGCCUUCGGGUUGUAAACUCCUGUUAAGCGGGAAGAAAGGCCCAUCUCUAAUACAGAUGGGAUAUGACGGUACCGCUAGAGAAAGCACCGGCUAAACUCGUGCCAGCAGCCGCGGUAAUACGAGUGGUGCAAGCGUUAUUCGGAAUUAUUGGGCGUAAAGGGUGUGCAGACGGCUCAUUAAGUCACCUGUUAAAUUCUCCGGCCUAACCGGAGGCCAGCGGGUGAAACUAAUAAGCUAGAGGGUGAGAGAGAGAAGUGGAAUUCUCGGAGUAGCGGUAAAAUGCGUAGAUCUCGAGAGGAACACCAAUGGCGAAGGCAGCUUCUUGGCUCACUCCUGACGUUCAUACACGAAAGCGUGGGGAGCAAACAGGAUUAGAUACCCUGGUAGUCCACGCUGUAAACGAUGAUCACUAGACGUUAGUUCCGAUUUCGGGAUUAGUGUCGUAGCUUACGCGUUAAGUGAUCCGCCUGGGGACUACGGUCGCAAGACUAA